rnacentral:rRNA from 1 species
UGCCAGACUCCUACGGGAGGCAGCAGUGAGGAAUAUUGGUCAAUGGGCGCGAGCCUGAACCAGCCAAGUCGCGUGAGGGAUGACGGUCCUACGGAUUGUAAACCUCUUUUGCCGGGGAGCAAGCGUGCGUUCGUGAACGCGCGUCGAGAGUACCCGGAGAAAAAGCAUCGGCUAACUCCGUGCCAGCAGCCGCGGUAAUACGGAGGAUGCGAGCGUUAUCCGGAUUUAUUGGGUUUAAAGGGUGCGCAGGCGGAUUUUUAAGUCAGCGGUCAAAUCGUGGGGCUCAACCCCAUCCAGCCGUUGAAACUGGGGAUCUAGAGUGUGCGAGAGGUAUGCGGAAUGCGUGGUGUAGCGGUGAAAUGCAUAGAUAUCACGCAGAACCCCGAUUGCGAAGGCAGCAUACCGGUGCACAACUGACGCUCAGGCACGAAAGCGUGGGUAUCGAACAGGAUUAGAUACCCUGGUAG